rfam:Bombyx mori DNA, contig: Bm_scaf16_contig12380, strain: p50T/Dazao, build 2, whole genome shotgun sequence.
UGAACUCAAGCUUGUAUGGAGUUGAAACGUUUGCCUACGUUUGCCGCUAGGGGCGCUGUUCCAAAUGCAUACAAAUUUGACUUA